GCUACCACAUCUAAGGAAGGCAGCAGGCACGCAAAUUACCCAAUGAACGAAGUUCGAGGUAGUGACGAAAAAUAACGAUAGCGGACUCAUCCGAGGCCCGCUAAUUGGAAUGAGUACACUUUAAAACCGUCCCCGAGGAUCUAUUGGAGGGCAAGUCUGGUGCCAGCAGCCGCGGUAAUUCCAGCUCCAAUAGCGUAUAUUAAAGUUGUUGUGGUUAAAAAGCUCGUAGUUGGAUCUCAACAGACCUGGAUCGGUUUACUUUGUGUACUACUGAUCCAGAGCUGUGCUUUUGAUGGAGGUUUAGGGGUGCUCUUAACCGAGUGUCUCUGAGUGCCGUCAGGUUUACUUUGAAAAAAUUAGCGCGCUUCAAGCAGGCUGUUAUGCCGGGAAUAUUUGUGCAUGGAAUAAUAGAAUAGGAUGUUGAUCUUAUUUUGUUGGUUUUCGAGACUCGACAUAAUGAUUAAUAAGGGACAGUCGGGGGCAUUUGUAUUCAAACGACAGAGGUGAAAUUCUUGACCGUUUGAAAGACAAACUACUGCGAAAGCAUUGCCCAAGAAUGUUUUCAUUAAUCAAGAACGAAAGUUAGAGGUUCGAAGGCGAUUAGAUACCGCCCUAGUUCUAACCAUAAACGAUGCCAGCUAGCGAUCUGCUGACGUUUUUACUGUAGACUCAGCAGGAAGCUUCCGGGAAACCAAAGCAUUUGGGUUCCAGGGGAAGUAUGGUUGCAAAGCUGAAACUUAAAGGAAUUGACGGAAGGGCACCACCAGGAGUGGAGCCUGUGGCUUAAUUUGACUCAACACGGGAAAUCUCACCAGGCCCGGACACUGGAAGGAUUGACAGAUUGAUAGCUCUUUCUCGAUUCGGUGGGUGGUGGUGCAUGGCCGUUCUUAGUUGGUGGAGUGAUUUGUCUGGUUAAUUCCGAUAACGAACGAGACUCUGUCCUGCUAAAUAGUGUUAUCUUCUUUUUUGAGAUGACAAUUCUUCUUAGAGGGACUGGCAACUCUUAGUUGCACGAGAUUGAGCAAUAACAGGUCUGUGAUGCCCUUAGAUGUUCUGGGCCGCACACGCGCUACACUGAAUAGAUCAACGUGUCACCCUUCCCGAAAGGGACGGGUAAACCGCUGAACCCUAUUCGUGGUAGGGAUCGGGGCUUGCAAUUAUUCCCCGUGAACCAGGAAUUCCCAGUAGGCACAGGUCAUAAGCCUGUGUCGAUUACGUCCCUGCCCUUUGUACACACCGCCCGUCGCUACUACCGAUUGAACGUUUUAGUGAGGACCUCAGAUUGUGUUUCAGUUGGCUCACGCUGAUUGUUUUGCGAGAAGACGUCCAAACUGAAGCGUUUAGAG
rnacentral:rRNA from 1 species